UACGUAGGGGGCAAGCGUUGUCCGGAUUUAUUGGGCGUAAAGAGCGUGUAGGCGGCCAGAUAGGUCAGCUGUGAAAACUCGAGGCUCAACCUCGAGAUGUCGGCUGAAACCAUCUGGCUAGAGUCCGGAAGAGGAGAAUGGAAUUCCCGGUGUAGCGGUGAAAUGCGCAGAUAUCGGGAAGAACACCCGUGGCGAAGGCGGCUUGCUGGGCGUGAUCUGACGCUGAGGCGCGAAAGCGUGGGGAGCGAACAGG
rnacentral:rRNA from 1 species